AACGCUGGCGGCAGGCCUAACACAUGCAAGUCGAGCGGUAACAUUUCUAGCUUGCUAGAAGAUGACGAGCGGCGGACGGGUGAGUAAUGCUUGGGAACAUGCCUUGAGGUGGGGGACAACAGUUGGAAACGACUGCUAAUACCGCAUAAUGUCUACGGACCAAAGGGGGCUUCGGCUCUCGCCUUUAGAUUGGCCCAAGUGGGAUUAGCUAGUUGGUGAGGUAAUGGCUCACCAAGGCGACGAUCCCUAGCUGGUUUGAGAGGAUGAUCAGCCACACUGGGACUGAGACACGGCCCAGACUCCUACGGGAGGCAGCAGUGGGGAAUAUUGCACAAUGGGCGCAAGCCUGAUGCAGCCAUGCCGCGUGUGUGAAGAAGGCCUUCGGGUUGUAAAGCACUUUCAGUCAGGAGGAAAGGUUAGUAGUUAAUACCUGCUAGCUGUGACGUUACUGACAGAAGAAGCACCGGCUAACUCCGUGCCAGCAGCCGCGGUAAUACGGAGGGUGCGAGCGUUAAUCGGAAUUACUGGGCGUAAAGCGUACGCAGGCGGUUUGUUAAGCGAGAUGUGAAAGCCCCGGGCUCAACCUGGGAACUGCAUUUCGAACUGGCAAACUAGAGUGUGAUAGAGGGUGGUAGAAUUUCAGGUGUAGCGGUGAAAUGCGUANAGAUCUGAAGGAAUACCGAUGGCGAAGGCAGCCCCUGGGUCAACACUGACGCUCAUGUACGAAAGCGUGGGGAGCAAACAGGAUUAGAUCCCUGGUAGUCCACCCCGUAAACGAUGUCUACUAAAACCUCGGAACCUCGGUCUGUUUUUCAAACUACCCAUUAA
rnacentral:rRNA from 1 species